rnacentral:rRNA from 1 species
AGUGAACGCUGGCGGUAGGCCUAACACAUGCAAGUCGAACGGCAGCACAGGAGAGCUUGCUCUCUGGGUGGCGAGUGGCGGACGGGUGAGGAAUACAUCGGAAUCUACUUUUUCGUGGGGGAUAACGUAGGGAAACUUACGCUAAUGCCGCAUACGACCUACGGGUGAAAGCAGGGGACCUUCGGGCCUUGCGCGAUUGAAUGAGCCGAGGUCGGAUUUGCUAGUUGGUCGGGGUAAAGGCCCACCAAGGCGACGAUCCGUAGCUGGUUUGGAAGGAUAAUCAGCCAAACUGGAAGUGCGACACGGUCAAGACUCCUACGGGAGGCAGCAGUGGGGAAUAUUGAAAAAUGGGCGCAAGCCUGAUCCAGCCAUACCGCGUGGGUGAAUAAGGCAUUCGGGUUGUAAAGCCCUUUUGUUGGGAAAGAAAUCCAGCUGGCUAAUACCCGGUUGUGAUGACGGUACCCAAAGAAUAAGCACCGGCUAACUUCGUGCCAGCCGCCGCAGUAA